AACGUACGCUGGCGGCACGCCUAACACAUGCAAGUCGAACGCAGUAGCAAUACUGAGCGGCAAACGGGUGAGUAACAUGUAGGAAUCUGCCUUUUGGUCUGGAAUAACAUGAGGAAACUUAUGCUAAUACCGGAUAAGCCUUUACGGGGAAAGUUUUAAUGCCGAAAGAUGAGCCUGCACUUGAUUAGCUAGUUGGUAAGGUAAAAGCUUACCAAGGCAACGAUCAAUAGCUGUUCUUAGAGGAAGACCAGCCACAUUGGGACUGAGACACGGCCCAGACUCCUACGGGAGGCAGCAGUGGGGAAUCUUGCACAAUGGGGGAAACCCUGAUGCAGCGAUGCCGCGUGAGUGAAGAAGGCCCUUGGGUUGUAAAACUCUUUCGUCGGGGAAGAAAAUGACUGUACCCGAAUAAGAAGGUCCGGCUAACUUCG
rnacentral:rRNA from 1 species